AUGUAACCCUCAAACUGUGGAUCCGAAAUUUUAAAAUAGCUUCUGGAAUAAAAUCAAAUAUUAUUAAAAUUAUCGCUCAACAAAUCAAAUCCAACAAAACUCCAUAUAGAAACUUAGCUGUCUUGUUCUUUCAUGAGAUGAAGUUCCUGACCAAAUCAAAAAAGGACUUCGGAUGUGCUUAUGGAGUAAAUUUGGAUAUACAAAAGGAUAUUCUCCAAUGCAUGAUAAUGGGAUUGGAACAAUGAUGCAAAUUAAGAGAAAUAAAAAUGGUGAAUUGGUGUUGCCUAUGUGUUGCUUUGAAGCCCUACCAAUAGGGCAUAAGUAUUCCUUCAAAAUCUUUGAUAUCAUUGUACCAAUACAUAAAUAAUGAAAUUGGCCUUCCAUAUAUAUCUUGUUUGAAUCAAGAUUGUCUUGAAAACUUUUUUUUCAAGAAUAAGAUAUAUUGGACGAACCCACUCUCAUCCUAAUGGGGUAGAGGCCAUGGACCGAUUUCGGAUACUCAUAAUAAGUGACUCAGAAAAAAUGGUUGUUGAAAAUGCUCCCGUCAGAUCUGAAGGAGACCAAUGUUUUGUUUCUAUGUUUCAACAAAUUACAGGUCCUAUUUUGAGCAAAGCAGAUUAAGAAUAUAACAUAAAAUUUAUUAAGACUUUGAUGAUAUAAUUUAUCCUCAAAUCAUUAAAGGUAAGAUUGAGGAAGAUAUAAAUUAUGAUGAAAAUACAAUAGAACAACAAUCUAAUGAUUUAUAUGUGACCAAAUCGUUACAUCAAAAAUUUCCCCCUCUGGGGCGUAAUACUUCCAGCAUCCAAGUUCCUCCAAGUCUAUGGCUUAAAACAUUGUCAAGAGGGGCAAUGCCUCAACUAUCGGAAUCUUUUUGGAAUUUUGCAAAAAAAAAAAUAGAGAAUCAUUUCAUGAAGCUUUAUGGGAAUUCUUUUGAUACCGAACCAUAUGAGAUGGAUCGACUCAUCAGCACAAUUGUGGAAAAGUAUCUUAAGGAAGAAUAGAAAGUUAUAAUAAAAUUUAUUCGCAUUCGUACUUUCAUUAGACUAAAGUAUAUUAAUAUUGUAAACAAAAGUGGCAUAAAAAGAAAAAUAGCAAGUAACGUGCGAAAAACUGCUCAUUUCAUUAGUUAAAAAUAAAAAACGGAAAUUAUAUAUAUAUAUAUUUUUUAGGCUCAUUAUUUAAUCUUAAACAAUUAACUUUCGAAAUGUGAGUACCUGUGUUCUAGCUGAGUUUAAAAACCUUGUCAAGCCUCGGAAAUUGGAUGGCCAAUAUUUUUUAGAAGUAAAAGAGUUCUUCUUUAAAACAACUGUAAUGUUAUUGGGAACGAAGUUUUCUUCUUGUGUCAAAUCAUCAAAGAGUCAUUAUGAGAACUGUUUGACUGUGGAUUAAUCAGUUCUAUUUCAAUAAAAUAUUCAUUUUAA
rnacentral:lncRNA from 1 species